rnacentral:tRNA from 1 species
GGGAAGAUGGUCUAGCUUGGCUAUGAUUCGUGGUUCGGGACCACGGGAUCGGGGGUUCAAAUCCCCCUCUUCCCA